UUAAUACUUUUUCCGUUUCAAAUUACUCAUCGCAGAAAUGAAUGUAUCUAGAACUAAAAUACAUCUAGAUACAUCCAUAUCUGCGACAAGUAAUUCGGAACGGAGGGAGUACAAA
rfam:Triticum aestivum genome assembly, contig: Triticum_aestivum_CS42_TGACv1_scaffold_194861_3AL